GGGCGCGGGCGCGCGAAGCGCUCGGAGAAUCACUGCAAAAAGUGUGUCAUGUGUGGCACGAGACCGCGCAUUCUCCGAACCGGUUCAGACCAGACAUGUGAGCGUGGAGGGUUGGGGAGCACCGUUUUUUCUUUUCGAAAGGGCAGGAAAUCAGAAGUUCAGGUCUAUUGUUUGUCGACGCCAUGGAGACAGCUGUGUCGCGUGGGCGGAUUGACCCAGUUCUCUCGUGGAGCGGAAGCAUGAUGGAUUUUAGCUGGUGGGCGUUCACAGUGACGUCACAUCACAGUUAUAAUGAUCAGAGUUACCAGAAUAAAUUUAUUAUAUCAAACACA